UACGUAGGUGGCAAGCGUUGUCCGGAAUUACUGGGCGUAAAGGGCUCGUAGGCGGCCAACUAAGUCAGACGUGAAAUCCCUCAGCUUAACUGGGGAACUGCGUCUGAUACUGGAUGGCUUGGAUUUGGGAGAGGAAUGCGGAAUUCCAGGUGUAGCGGUGAAAUGCGUAGAUAUCUGGAGGAACACCGGUGGCGAAGGCGGCAUUCUGGACCAAUAUUGACGCUGAGGAGCGAAAGCCAGGGGAGCAAACGGG
rnacentral:rRNA from 1 species